UGCCUAUGAUGCAUUUAUUUGCACGUAUUAUCAGACAUCCAAAUGAUGAUAUCGGAUUGUCACUACCUCUGAGGCA